ensembl:snoRNA
AGUUGUGGUAGUUUCUUUCUGGCACAUUUGUUAAGUUUUCAAAGGCGUCUGACUCUACCACAUACAUUGUAAGGAGCUAGCAAAAGCUUACAGACUGAAAUAUCUCUCUUGAGCUUUUUUUGUAUCACAUAUUGACUCUCACAAUC